rnacentral:rRNA from 1 species
GGGUUGUGAGGUUAAGCGACUAAGCGUACACGGUGGAUGCCCUGGCAGUCAGAGGCGAUGAAGGGCGUGCUAAUCUGCGAUAAGCGCCGGUAAGGUGAUAUGAACCGUUAUAACCGGCGAUACCCGAAUGGGGAAACCCAGUGUGAUUCGUCACACUAUCAUUAACUGAAUCCAUAGGUUAAUGAGGCGAACCGGGGGAACUGAAACAUCUAAGUACCCCGAGGAAAAGAAAUCAACCGAGAUUCCCCCAGUAGCGGCGAGCGAACGGGGAGGAGCCCAGAGCCUGAAUCAGCAUGUGUGUUAGUGGAAGCGUCUGGAAAGGCGCGCGAUACAGGGUGACAGCCCCGUACACAAAAGCGCAUGUGCUGUGAGCUCGAUGAGUAGGGCGGGACACGUGGUAUCCUGUCUGAAUAUGGGGGGACCAUCCUCCAAGGCUAAAUACUCCUGACUGACCGAUAGUGAACCAGUACCGUGAGGGAAAGGCGAAAAGAACCCCGGCGAGGGGAGUGAAAAAGAACCUGAAACCGUGUACGUACAAGCAGUGGGAGCACAGGUUUACCUGUGUGACUGCGUACCUUUUGUAUAAUGGGUCAGCGACUUAUAUUCUGUAGCAAGGUUAACCGUAUAGGGGAGCCGCAGGGAAACCGAGUCUUAAUUGGGCGUUAAGUUGCAGGGUAUAGACCCGAAACCCGGUGAUCUAGCCAUGGGCAGGUUGAAGGUUGGGUAACACUAACUGGAGGACCGAACCGACUAAUGUUGAAAAAUUAGCGGAUGACCUGUGGCUGGGGGUGAAAGGCCAAUCAAACCGGGAGAUAGCUGGUUCUCCCCGAAAGCUAUUUAGGUAGCGCCUCGUGAAUUCAUCUCCGGGGGUAGAGCACUGUUUCGGCUAGGGGGCCAUCCCGGCUUACCAACCCGAUGCAAACUGCGAAUACCGGAGAAUGUUAUCACGGGAGACACACGGCGGGUGCUAACGUCCGUCGUGAAGAGGGAAACAACCCAGACCGCCAGCUAAGGUCCCAAAGUCAUGGUUAAGUGGGAAACGAUGUGGGAAGGCCCAGACAGCCAGGAUGUUGGCUUAGAAGCAGCCAUCAUUUAAAGAAAGCGUAAUAGCUCACUGGUCGAGUCGGCCUGCGCGGAAGAUGUAACGGGGCUAAACCAUGCACCGAAGCUGCGGCAGCGACGCUUAUGCGUUGCUGGGUAGGGGAGCGUUCUGUAAGCCUGCGAAGGUGGCCUGUGAGGGUUGCUGGAGGUAUCAGAAGUGCGAAUGCUGACAUAAGUAACGAUAAAGCGGGUGAAAAGCCCGCUCGCCGGAAGACCAAGGGUUCCUGUCCAACGUUAAUCGGGGCAGGGUGAGUCGACCCCUAAGGCGAGGCCGAAAGGCGUAGUCGAUGGGAAACGGGUUAAUAUUCCCGUACUUGGUGUUACUGCGAAGGGGGGACGGAGAAGGCUAUGUUGGCCGGGCGACGGUUGUCCCGGUUUAAGCGUGUAGGUGUGUGUUCCAGGUAAAUCCGGUUCACUUUAACACUGAGGCGUGACGACGAGGCACUACGGUGCUGAAGCAACAAAUGCCCUGCUUCCAGGAAAAGCCUCUAAGCAUCAGGUAACAUCAAAUCGUACCCCAAACCGACACAGGUGGUCAGGUAGAGAAUACCAAGGCGCUUGAGAGAACUCGGGUGAAGGAACUAGGCAAAAUGGUGCCGUAACUUCGGGAGAAGGCACGCUGACACGUAGGUGAAGUGAUUUACUCAUGGAGCUGAAGUCAGUCGAAGAUACCAGCUGGCUGCAACUGUUUAUUAAAAACACAGCACUGUGCAAACACGAAAGUGGACGUAUACGGUGUGACGCCUGCCCGGUGCCGGAAGGUUAAUUGAUGGGGUCAGCGCAAGCGAAGCUCCUGAUCGAAGCCCCGGUAAACGGCGGCCGUAACUAUAACGGUCCUAAGGUAGCGAAAUUCCUUGUCGGGUAAGUUCCGACCUGCACGAAUGGCGUAAUGAUGGCCAGGCUGUCUCCACCCGAGACUCAGUGAAAUUGAACUCGCUGUGAAGAUGCAGUGUACCCGCGGCAAGACGGAAAGACCCCGUGAACCUUU